rnacentral:rRNA from 1 species
CCUCAACUGCGAUUGGAGUUCCGUGCCCCUGCCGACCGAAGCCAUCCCUGCGUUGAGCUUCCUCUACCUCAGAGCCGUCGUCCAGGCCGUCGUCGCAUUACUCGGACCUCUACCCAGGUACCAUAGCCGUACAGGUCGUCGUCGCCCUCCGGCCGCUGCCUCGGGGCUAUCGUCGUUUAGACUUUCGUCGCCCUCGUGCUGCUACCUCGGAGUCGCCAUCGUCCCUGCCUCUAAACGCUCCUGCUCCGACCUACAGUCCCCCUGUGUUCCUGCCAACAACCUAACACCUCACGCUCCUGCCGCCGAGCUAGAGCCCUCCCUAGAGCUCCUCUCCCCCGCCUCACGCUCCUACCCACCUACAGCCCCACCUCGAACCCCCUCCCCGCAGGCUGGAGGCCCUGCUGCCGAACUACUGCCCCAGCUCGCGCUCCGGUCGCCGGUACCGCCGGCCUGACACCAAGCUCGUGCUCCGGCCGCCGCUACCGUCGACCCGGCACCUAACUCGCGCUCCACCCACCGCUAUCCGUACCCAAUCCCAACACCUCAACAAACUAAACCCCUAACAAACGAGCCCACCUC